rnacentral:rRNA from 1 species
AGUGAACGCUGGCGGUAGGCCUAACACAUGCAAGUCGAACGGCAGCACAGUAAGAGCUUGCUCUUACGGGUGGCGAGUGGCGGACGGGUGAGGAAUACAUCGGAAUCUACUUUUUCGCGGGGGAUAACGUAGGGAAACUUACGCUAAUACCGCAUACGACCUACGGGUGAAAGCAGGGGAUCUUCGGACCUUGCGCGAUUGAAUGAGCCGAUGUCGGAUUAGCUAGUUGGCGGGGUAAAGGCCCACCAAGGCGACGAUCCGUAGCUGGUCUGAGAGGAUGGUACGCCACACUGGAACUGAGACACGGUCCCGACUCCGACGGGAGGCAGCAGUGGGGAAUAUUGGACAAUGGGCGCAAGCCUGAUCCAGCCAUACCGAGUGGGUGAAGAAGGCCUUCGGGUUGUAAAGCCUUUUUGUUGGGAAAGAAAAGCAGCAGGUUAAUACCCCGCUGUUCUGACGGUACCAAAAGAAUAAGGACCGGCUAACUUCGUG